AAGGGCAUGGUCUAGUAUAAGCAAUUAUACCGUGAAACUGCGAAUGGCUCAUUAAAUCAGUUAUCGUUUAUUUGAUAGUACCUUACUACUUGGAUAACCCGUGGUAAUUCUAGAGCUAAUACAUGCUGAAAACCCCGACUUCGGGAGGGGUGUAUUUAUUAGAUAAAAAACCAACGCCCUUCGGGGCUUCUUGGUGAUUCAUGAUAACUUCACGGAUCGCAUGGCCUUGCGCCGGCGACGGUUCAUUCAAAUUUCUGCCCUAUCAACUUUCGAUGGUAAGGUAUUGGCUUACCAUGGUUUCAACGGGUAACGGGGAAUUAGGGUUCGAUUCCGGAGAGGGAGCCUGAGAAACGGCUACCACAUCCAAGGAAGGCAGCAGGCGCGCAAAUUACCCAAUCCCGACACGGGGAGGUAGUGACAAUAAAUACUGAUACAGGGCUCUUUUGGGUCUUGUAAUUGGAAUGAGUACAAUUUAAACCUCUUAACGAGGAACAAUUGGAGGGCAAGUCUGGUGCCAGCAGCCGCGGUAAUUCCAGCUCCAAUAGCGUAUAUUAAAGUUGUUGCAGUUAAAAAGCUCGUAGUUGAAACUUGGGCCUGGCUGGCAGGUCCGCCUCACCGCGUGUACUUGUCCGGCCGGGCCUUUCCUUCUGGAGAACCUCAUGCCCUUCACUGGGUGUGCUGGGGAACCAGGACUUUUACUUUGAAAAAAUUAGAGUGUUCAAAGCAGGCCUUUGCUCGAAUACGUUAGCAUGGAAUAAUAGAAUAGGACGUGCGGUCCUAUUUUGUUGGUUUCUAGGACCGCCGUAAUGAUUAAUAGGGACAGUCGGGGGCAUCAGUAUUCAAUUGUCAGAGGUGAAAUUCUUGGAUUUAUUGAAGACUAACUACUGCGAAAGCAUUUGCCAAGGAUGUUUUCAUUAAUCAGUGAACGAAAGUUAGGGGAUCGAAGACGAUCAGAUACCGUCGUAGUCUUAACCGUAAACUAUGCCGACUAGGGAUCGGGCGAUGUUCUUUUUCUGACUCGCUCGGCACCUUACGAGAAAUCAAAGUUUUUGGGUCUGGGGGAGUAGGCCCCCC
rnacentral:rRNA from 1 species